UAUGUCUCUAUAAAGUGUCACCCCUUUUUGCAUGACAAAUGUCCUUCAAUAGUGUAUAAUUCAAGGUCUUAAUUUUGUGAGCAGGGCAGUGGUGAGCCAAAUGCUCUUAUCUGAAUAAACAAGUUCCUUAUACUUUGAUGUGAGCAGUUUUUUCCUUAUUUGUGGGAGGAUUUGAACUUAGGAUAUGCGCGAUUAUUUCAACACAGGGCAGGAUUUUCUGAGAAGACUAGGACACCAUGUGACUACGUAACUAUGAUACAAUAGAAGGAAAACUGCCCUGUGAAUCACGGACAGAUGUGAGGAAGCUGCUAAACAGCUGGAAGCCACCAUGUUUAAUCCCAAGAGCUGUCGCACGUCUGUGAACAUCUG